CCCAAGCUUCCGGGAGGAGAGAAGCAUGGCUCGGUUACCGCUAGCUUGACGCUAACGUGUGAACCACGUGUCGAGGUCUCCCUCAAAACCGUCGUGUUUCUCGACAGGUUCCUCCUGAAGCAGCAGCUCGACAUGACGUGACUGUUCACGGCUUUCUGUGGAGGAUGCAGGAACUGGAGCACGUGGAAGAGUGGGACGUGAAGAUGACGUCACCUACAGGUGACCCUCAUUGCUGACUCUCACGUGACUGGAUGAGAACGUCUCACUGAAAGGUUCCUCCUGAAGCAGCAGCUCGACCUGACGUCAUGGCUCUGUGGAGGAUGCAGGAAUAAGUCUGGGCUUUAAUCUGGUUGCCUUGCCCAUUGGACUGUAAUGGCUCCCCGGUUGGAAGUGACUCUUUGACCCCAGCCUAAAGUCUUCAGUCAAAGUGUCUGGGUCCACCUGUGCAGGAAGUUGCAAUGCUGUCAGUUCAGACUGACUUCACUGUGCAGUAUGACGUCUGAUGGUGUGGACACGCUGCACCACGAUGACGUAAGAUCAAAAGAAGUGAUACAAACGAUAUGCAGUAAACUGUAAAUAAUCUACGGUAACUGAGUAGGGUUGCAUGGUGUACCGAUACUAAAACGGUACCCCGGUACAUUCAAAAUGAUACGGUUUUGCAUAUUAUGCAGGUAUGUUUAUUUCCGUCACACCGUUCCUCCACAACCGGCUCCUAUCGAAGCCGUUCGUGCUCUCCCGUAGCAGUGAUCGGUCAACAGUGAGCCAAGAGGAAGACUUUCACCGACGGUCGCUGUUCAGUUUGAAGUAACUGUUUUAGCAACAUUUUGGGAAAGGACAUCCGGACUAAAUGAUCUGAAUGAGUGAACGAGCCUGUAUGCAAAGUGCUAAAACUGAACUCCUUUCUGCAGGAACUGGAGCACGUUGAACGUGGAAGAGUGGGACGUGAAGAUGACGUCACCUACAGAUGACCCUCAUGAGAACGUCUCACUGAAAGGAAUCGUCUUGGUUUGAAUCUGGAGUCCACGCUGAUGCAGCAGUUUGUCAGACUGUCGUUGAUUACUCCAGAGUUGAGAUUGUUUGUGUGAUGUCAUUGGAAUGAAAUAAAACACUUGGCAACUA